UGAAACCAGGAUUAGAUACCCCACUAUUCUAAGAAUAAAAUGUUUUACUUGAUUAUUAAUUGCUAUGUUCUUGAAAUUUAGAGAAUUUGGCGGUAUUUAAGUCUAGUUAGAGGAACCUGCUUCUUAAAACGAUAAUCCACGAAGUAUCUUAUUUUCUUUUGUCAUUCAGUUUGUAUACCUCCAUUAUUAGGUGUAGCUAAAAAGCUUUUACUUAAAUAUAAUAAAUUUAUAAUAUAUUAGGUCAAGGUGCAGCCUAUAAGAAAAUUGAUUGUGGGUUACAUUUUUAUUUAAACUCGGAUAGAAGAAUCAAAUUUCUUUUUGAAGCUGGAUUUAAUUGUAAAUUUAAUUUAAUAUGUUAAAUUGAUAUUAGCUCUUAAAUAUGUACACAUCGCCCGUCGCUCGCGGGAAAA
rnacentral:rRNA from 1 species